AAAGGCGAAUGGGUCUCAUUCUCUUCCUCCUCGCCCCAGAGGUGUGACUAUAUCACACAUGCUCUGGCACAUUCUGCAGGAAGCAGCGAUUUCAUUGUGCUCUGUUCUGCAGUUUGUUGAGAUCUUCCGAGGGACAGGGAUUCUGGAGCUGGGAAAAAUGAAAUUCACCAUGGCUGUGCCAGCAUGUGUCCUGCUAAUCCAGACAGGUCUUGUUGGAUGUAACCCCCCAAAGCAAUUCCUCUCCGAGGUAUCAGCCACAGUUGGGCAGCGAGUGGUUCUGCCCUGCCAGUCCACCAUUGAGGACAGUGGCAGCAGUUUGAACUUCUUCUGGUACCGCCAGCUUCCGGGGGAAGCCUUGACAUUUCUCCUGCAAGCAUUUAAAGAUUCAGGGAAUGACAAGUUCCGCAGUGGCCGAUUCUCUGUGGUGGUCUACAAAAAUGAAACAGCCCCCCUAGAAAUAGCAUAUGUCUCUUUCGAGGACACUGCGAUUUAUUACUGUGCUCUGAUGUACCACAUUAAGCUAAGCCACAUUUCCACUCGUGCAAAAUCUGCAUUGCGAAGAACAGCACAGGAGGGAAAUCAACACCCCUAAAGAAAAGGAUCAACACCCCUGGACUUAACCUCCCGCUGCAGCAUCAAUCCUUACCUGCUCUUGGUUUGUGCAGUAUCUGAUACUGCACACCCCAAUCUGCUGUGGUGACAGUGUUCUGCCUGAGGUCUCGACCUAGCUGUGGGCAGAGCCAGGGAAUCCAUGUCUCUGCUUUCUCCUGGCCAGCCCUAGCCGUUGGCACAGCUACCUGAUGGACCACAGACCCUCAUCUUACUCCUCUUUGCAAAGUAGCCGAGGGGCAGGAAAGCAGCUUUUACCCUAAUGCCUUCAGCACUACGCAGGGUGUCCUUCUUUGUGCUGCAUAUGGUUAGAUGAUGAGAUCCUCCCACAUACAUCCCAGU